rnacentral:rRNA from 1 species
AGUGAACGCUGGCGGUAGGCCUAACACAUGCAAGUCGAACGGCAGCACAGUAAGAGCUUGCUCUUACGGGUGGCGAGUGGCGGACGGGUGAGGAAUACAUCGGAAUCUACUUUUUCGUGGGGGAUAACGUAGGGAAACUUACGCUAAUACCGCAUACGACCUACGGGUGAAAGCAGGGGAUCUUCGGACCUUGCGCGAUUGAAUGAGCCGAUGUCGGAUUAGCUAGUUGGCGGGGCAAAGGCCCACCAAGGCGACGAUCCGUAGCUGGUCUGAGAGGAUGAUCAGCCACACUGGAACUGAGACACGGCCCAGACUCCUACGGGAGGCAGCAGUGGGGAAUAUUGGACAAUGGGCGCAAGCCUGAUCCAGCCAUACCGCGUGGGUGAAGAAGGCCUUCGGGUUGUAAAGCCCUUUUGUUGGGAAAGAAAAGCAGCAGGUUAAUACCCCGCUGUUCUGACGGUACCCAAAGAAUAAGCACCGGCUAACUUCGUG